rnacentral:rRNA from 1 species
UGGGGAAUAUUGCGCAAUGGGCGAAAGCCUGACGAUGCGACGCCGUGUGGACGAUGAAGGCCUUCGGGUUGUAAAGUCCUUUCGCCAGGGAACAAGAGAGAGUAACUAAUAAUUGCUCAAUUUGAGGGUACCUGGUAAAGAAGCACCGGCUAACUCCGUGCCAGCAGCUACGGUAAUACGGAGGGUGCAAGCAUUGAUCGGAAUUAUUGGGCGUAAAGGGCGCGUAGGCGGCUAGAUAAGUCAGAUGUGAAAUUCCGGGGCUCAACCCCGGGGCUGCAUUUGAAACUGUCCAGCUAGUGUAUAGUUAGGGAAAACGGAAUUCCACGUGUAGCGGUGAAAUGCGUAGAUAUGUGGAAGAACACCGGUGGUGAAGACGGUUUUCUAGGCUAAAACUGACGCUGAGGCGCGAAAGCUAGGGGAGCAAACA